AGUUAGCUAUUGUUGCAUCACAGAUUACCAACCCAAACUCAGCAGCUUAAACACAUUUAUUAUUUCAGUUUUCAAGGUUCAGGAAUUUGGAAGCAGCUUAGCUGGAAGUUUCUGGCUUCAGGUUUCUCAUGAGGUUUCAGUGGAGCAGCAGCCAGAUUCCAUUACCAUCUCCAUCUGAAGAGCUCUCAGGUGCCAAAGACUACAAUUCCCAGCAUGUCGUGACUCUGACUUCCUGAAUGGGGGUAGUGCUGCUUGGUUUAUACUGAAUACAUGUAGGCUUGGCCUCUCUUGCUUUUCAGGCUGUCAACUAAAACCCUGGUGUCUCAGCUCAGAUGGUGGUACUGGUUGGAAUUCAUCAAGACAAAACAAGAGAUCCCAGGAACAAGGAAAUUAAAAGCUCAAGAGAUGGAAGACCUCAUGGAAAGAAGAACAAAGAAAGGACCUCAAACCUUUAAUUAUGCUGAGUUAAAACUACUUAAAUAGAGCCUCCACCUCUUUUUCAAGAAGCAGUAAUACAGAUCCUGUACCCGAUGCUGAUCCCCUCAUGCUGAAUUGUGGCCUCCCCUGUGGCGCAAUGGGUUGAGCGCAGCGCUGUGAAGUUGUCCACAUCCUCUGCAACGCGGGUUUGAUUCCCAGCGGGCCAAGGAAAUACCCACACGGAGCAGACCUCUCCUGUCUCGCCCGCUGCUCCCCUCAACAGUUUACUUCAGUCAGUAUGCCUGUUCUGUUCCCUAUUCUGUCUCUGGUGAAUCCUCUCACCUCCCACACCGCUGGCCUGUACCCCAGUUCUUAUAUA